rnacentral:rRNA from 1 species
GCCUACGGGAGGCAGCAGUAGGGAAUCUUCGGCAAUGGACGGAAGUCUGACCGAGCAACGCCGCGUGAGUGAAGAAGGUUUUCGGAUCGUAAAGCUCUGUUGUAAGAGAAGAACGAGUGUGAGAGUAGGUAAAGUUCACAC